GACGAACGCUGGCGAUAUGCCUAACACAUGCAAGUCGAAGGCUAACGGGUGAGCUUGCUGCUCCCGAUGACUACCACAGGGGGAAGGGUGCCUAACGCGACCGGCCCGUGCCUCGGGGAUAACAAUAACCCGCAAAAAUCCGGACUAAUGUUCCAUACAUGUUUAAUGACGCCUGCUUUGAGAUGAAAUAUUUAUCCUUCUGAAAGGACCAUGCUUCCUAUUACGUAGUUGGGGAGGUAACGGCUCACCAGGCCAACAAUCGGUAGGGGUGCUGAAAGGUGAAUCCCCCACCUUGGACUGAGACACGGCCCGACUCCUACGGGAGGCAGCAGUGAGGAAUCUUGGUCAAUGGAGGAAACUCUGAACCAGCCACGUCGCGUGAAGGAAGAAUGUCCUAAGGAUUGUAAACUUCUUUAGCGAGCGAGAAAGGACUUCCACGUGAUGGGAGUUUGAAAGUACCUCUCUUACCAGUAUCGGCUAACUCCGUGCCUGCCCCGCGGUAAUACAAUACGAUACGUACCGUUAUCCGGAUUUAUUGAUUUUAAAGGGUGCGCAGCGUGGUCUUGCAAGAUCAGUGGUGAAAAGCUGACGCUCAACCUCACCCCUUGCCGCUGAAACUGCUGUACUUGUUAGUACAUGAUGUGGGCAGAGUGCUUCCUUGUGCGGUGAAAUGCAUAGAUAUUACACAGAACUCCGAUGGCGAAGGCAGCUCAUCUGGUAUUUCUGACACUGAUGCACGAAAGCGUGGUGAGCGAACAGG
rnacentral:rRNA from 1 species